rnacentral:sRNA from 2 species
AUGCCAUCUUGUUGACACCUACUGGCAAACUGAGACUGGUUCUCACGUUAUCACCCCUUUGGGCGGCAUUACACCAACAAAGCCCGGCAGUGCUUCGCUUCCCUUCUUCGGCAUUGAGCCUGCCAUCAUUGACCCGGUAUCUGGAGAGGAGAUCAAAGGCAAUGACGUUGAAGGCGUUCUAGCGAUUAAACAACCAUGGCCAAGCAUGGCGCGCACAGUCUGGGGUGCCCACAAG